CAGUCGCCGCGGUAAUACGAAAGGGGCUAGCGUUGCUCGGAAUGACUGGGCGUAAAGGGCGCGUAGGCGGUUUGCACAGUCGGGUGUGAAAUUCCUGGGCUUAACCUGGGGGCUGCAUUCGAGACGUGUAGGCUUGAGUGGGGAAGAGGGUCGUGGAAUUCCCAGUGUAGAGGUGAAAUUCGUAGAUAUUGGGAAGAACACCGGUGGCGAAGGCGGCGACCUGGUCCUUUACUGACGCUGAGGCGCGAAAGCGUGGGGAGCAAGCAGGAUUAGAUACCCGCGUAGUCCCUGUCUCUUAUAC
rnacentral:rRNA from 1 species